ACGAGUUUUGACUGGGUUGUAGCUGGCCUUCCGAGGCAUGUGCACACCCUGCUCAUCCACUCUACACCUGUGCACUUAUGUGGGUUUCAGAUUGCAAAGCGGGCCUUUACGGGUCUGUGGAGCGUCUGUGCCUGCGUUUUACUAUAAACUCUUAAAAGUAACAGAAUGUGUAUUGCGAUGUAACGCAUCUAUAUA
rnacentral:misc_RNA from 1 species